rnacentral:rRNA from 1 species
AUUUUAGGCUAAAUAUCCUAAAGCACCAGAACCCAUCAGAUCUUGGAAUCUAAGAAGAGCCAGUCCUGAUUAGUACUUGCAUGGAAGACUGCCAAUGAAUACCAUGUGCCGUAGGCA